rnacentral:rRNA from 1 species
UACAGAGGGGGCAAGCGUUGUCCGGAUUUACUGGGCGUACAGCGCGCGCAGGCGGUUGCGUAUGUGAGCGGUGACAUCCGCGGGCUCAACCCGCGGCGGCCCGCUUACACAGCGCGACUGGAGGCAGGGAGAGGGAUGUGGAAUACCCGGUGGAGCGGUGAAAUGCGUAGAGAUCGGGUGGAACACCAGCGGCGAAGGCGGCAUCCUGGCCCUGUACUGACGCUGAGGCGCGAUAGCGUGGGGAGCGAACAGG